AAUCAACGCUGGCGGCGUGCCUAACACAUGCAAGUCGAACGCGAAAGUCCCGCAAGGGAUGAGUAGAGUGGCAAACGGGUGAGUAACACGUGGGUGACCUGCCUUCGAGCGGGGGAUAACGUCCCGAAAGGGACGCUAAUACCGCAUGACAUCCUGCCUUUGAAGAGGUGGAGAUCAAAGCUGGGGAUCGCAAGACCUAGCACUUGAAGAGGGGCCCGCGUCNGAUUAGCUAGUUGGUGAGGUAACGGCUCACCAAGGCAACGAUCAGUAUCCGGCCUGAGAGGGCGGACGGACACACUGGGACUGAGACACGGCCCAGACUCCUACGGGAGGCAGCAGUGGGGAAUUGUUCGCAAUGGGCGCAAGCCUGACGACGCAACGCCGCGUGGAGGAUGAAGGUCUUCGGAUUGUAAACUCCUGUUGCCCGGGACGAAAAGCUUUGACCUAAUACGUCGGAGUCU
rnacentral:rRNA from 1 species